AGGCUGAGAGUAGCUGCCGUUUCUGAGAGGACGAUUCGUAAGGAAGCCCCUGGUGCGGUUUCCCUUUGCUCUCCCCUCUGCGGGCCCUGGCCGUACUUCAGCGGUGUCUAGAGCGUGGUCCGUUCUCGUCUACCUGCCUGACUUUCUUCAGAGGUAACUGUGGUUGGCCCAGUAGUCGGCUGUCGAAAGUGCCGGCCCCGGCGCCGGCGCCGGCCGCAGCCGGGUGGGAAGGCUCAAGAUGGCGUGCCUGUUGGAGACCCCAAUCCGCAUGAGCGUCCUUUCGGAAGUAACAGCUAGCAGUCGCCACUAUGUUGACAGGCUAUUUGACCCUGAUCCCCAGAAAGUUCUACAAGGUGUCAUAGACAUGAAAAAUGCUGUAAUUGGAAACAACAAGCAGAAAGCCAACCUCAUUGUUCUAGGAGCUGUUCCGAGAUUAUUGUACUUGCUUCAGCAAGAAACCUCAAGCACAGAGUUGAAAACCGAAUGUGCAGUGGUAUUGGGAAGUCUUGCUAUGGGUACUGAAAACAAUGUUAAGUCUCUACUCGAUUGCCAUAUUAUCCCUGCCUUACUGCAAGGACUACUGUCCCCAGACCUGAAGUUCAUUGAAGCUUGCCUCCGAUGCCUGCGCACCAUCUUCACCAGUCCCGUUACUCCAGAGGAACUACUGUAUACAGAUGCCACAGUGAUACCGCAUCUCAUGGCGCUGCUUAGCAGGUCCCGCUAUACCCAGGAGUACAUCUGUCAGAUCUUCUCACACUGCUGUAAAGGUCCAGAUCAUCAAACAAUUUUAUUUAAUCAUGGUGCAGUUCAGAAUAUUGCUCACCUACUAACCUCAGUAUCUUACAAAGUUCGAAUGCAGGCACUGAAAUGCUUCUCAGUUUUAGCUUUUGAAAACCCCCAGGUAUCGAUGACCCUGGUAAAUGUUUUGGUUGAUGGAGAAUUGUUACCACAAAUUUUUGUGAAGAUGUUACAGAGGGAUAAGCCCAUUGAAAUGCAGCUCACAUCAGCAAAAUGUUUAACUUACAUGUGUAGAGCUGGAGCAAUUCGGACAGAUGACAACUGUAUUGUAUUAAAGACAUUGCCUUGUUUGGUUCGAAUGUGCAGUAAGGAGAGGUUACUAGAGGAGAGAGUUGAAGGAGCUGAGACACUCGCCUAUCUGAUUGAACCAGAUGUUGAGCUACAGAGAAUUGCUAGCAUUACUGAUCACCUCAUUGCCAUGCUUGCUGAUUAUUUCAAGUAUCCCAGCUCUGUGAGUGCCAUCACUGAUAUUAAAAGGCUUGAUCAUGACUUAAAGCAUGCUCACGAACUUCGCCAGGCUGCAUUCAAGCUCUAUGCCUCUCUCGGAGCAAACGAUGAAGACAUCCGGAAGAAGAUCAUUGAGACUGAAAAUAUGAUGGACCGAAUUGUGACUGGCUUGUCUGAGUCUAGUGUCAAGGUGCGGUUAGCUGCCGUCAGAUGUUUGCACAGUUUAUCUAGAUCUGUGCAGCAGCUUCGAACCAGUUUCCAGGAUCACGCCGUGUGGAAACCUUUAAUGAAGGUUUUACAAAAUGCACCAGAUGAAAUCCUAGUAGUAGCGUCUUCCAUGUUAUGUAAUCUUCUUCUUGAAUUUUCUCCAAGUAAAGAGCCAAUUUUAGAAUCGGGAGCUGUAGAGCUACUUUGUGGAUUAACCCAAAGUGAAAAUCCUGCUUUACGAGUGAAUGGAAUUUGGGCUUUAAUGAAUAUGGCAUUUCAGGCUGAACAAAAAAUAAAAGCAGAUAUUUUACGAAGCUUGAGUACUGAACAGCUAUUCCGGUUAUUAUCAGAUUCAGAUUUGAAUGUGCUGAUGAAGACAUUGGGCCUUCUUAGAAAUCUCCUCUCUACUCGCCCACACAUAGAUAAAAUAAUGAGUACUCAUGGAAAGCAAAUUAUGCAAGCUGUCACCCUUAUUUUGGAAGGGGAACAUAACAUUGAGGUCAAAGAGCAGACACUGUGCAUCCUAGCCAACAUAGCAGAUGGGACAACGGCAAAAGAACUUAUUAUGACCAAUGAUGACAUCCUGCAGAAAAUCAAGUAUUACAUGGGUCAUUCACAUGUCAAAUUGCAGCUUGCUGCUAUGUUUUGUAUAUCAAACCUCAUAUGGAAUGAAGAGGAAGGCUCACAAGAACGCCAGGAUAAAUUACGAGACAUGGGCAUCGUAGAUAUUCUGCACAAACUGAGUCAGUCACCAGAUUCAAAUCUUUGUGACAAGUGAGUAUCAAAGCAAAAGGGCCUUGCUUUGGGGUAUGUUGCAUUCUUUUAUGACAGGGUUUGAAUUGCUUAGUAAGUCACAUAGCCAAACUCAAAAUCUUUUAGAUUCUUGGAUUCCCUUUUUCAUCUGUGAGUCAACUGUGUGACAUUUGAGUAAGAGAUAAACUAAUAAUUAGCAGAUUAUUAAAGAUUCUCAUCUUACUCUGAAUUGAUACGAGCCCAGGCCACCUUAGUGGGACUCUGGAGAGGAUCCAGAGGUUAUUCCCUUUCAGUCCCUCGGUCAUUAGAAUAGAAAUGCGUGUGGCCUUUUGGAGAGCAGAAAUGAAGGCCAAUUAUAAAAACAUUCAUUAGCUCAAAACCUCACUGAGCGCCUGCCUUGUGCCAGCCUGGCCUGGCUGCUGGGGAUGCAGCAGUGACCACUAAGGAGUCCCUGUCCUCAGAGAGCUCACCUUUUCUGGGGGAGGCGAGAGUCAUAGUCAGAGACCCCUCUAAGCUCAGGAUAACCGAGAUUGUUUUUCCUGGCUGUGGACCCUUCUUAUAACACAGCCUUCGUUUUCCAGCUCACUUUCAUUCUCCACGCUCGCGAGCAGGGCUCAGAGUGCUCCAUGGUCUGGCUCUGCCUUCCUUGUGCUGCCCCCUCCCCUGUGCCCACCCUGUGCUCCAGCCACACCUGCCCUCUUACAGUAUCACACCUUCAGGCAUUUACACCUUCUGUUCCAUCUGAUUUGCCAUCCCAGUCCCCUCGCCUCUGAAUCCCCAUUCAUUCAACAAAUAUGUAUAUAUAUUUUAAUACCAACCUUACCAGGCACCGUUUCAGGCAUAGGCGAUAUAAGGGUGAAUAAAAUUGAUGACAACCUUGCCCUCAUGUAACUUACAUUCUAGUACAGAAGACAGAUAAUAAGCAAAUGAAUAUGUAAUAUGAUAGCAGAUAAUGAGAGGUACUACGAAGGUAUAAGCAAGGGUGAGGGAAUGGAAAGUAAGAAAGCUUCUUGUGGUAUAGAUUAGUCCCAGCCUUUCCGAGGAUGUGACAUUUGAUCAAAGACCUGGGUGAAAUGAGAGAGUCUUCCAGGCAGAUGCUUAGAAUCGUAUUCCAGACAGGGGACAGUGGGUUCAAGGCCCUGAGGCAGGAAUGCUUGAAUGUUCAAGAAACAGCAGGAAGACCAGUGGGGCUGGGGAAAAAUGAGCGAGGGGGAGAGUGGUAAGAAUUGGACACAGGGAGGCAGUGGGAGCAACUGAAGAGCCUGGUAGACUGUGGCAAGGACUUCGGAUUUUAUCCGGAUUUUAAUAGGAAGUCAGUCAUUAGAGAGUUUUGAGCGGAAGAGACAGUAUCUGAUUCAAAUUUUUAAAAGAUGGCUCUGAUGGCUGUGUAGAGAGUGGUCUGUAGUAGGGCAGGAAUGGAAGCAGGGAGACCAGCUAAAGGCCGUUACAGUCGUGUUAGAUAAGGGAUGAGGGUAGUAGUGCUGGGAGUAUUGAGAAGUGAUUGGAUUCAGGAUUUAAUCUAAAGGUAGAGCCAACAGGUUUGCUCAUGGAUUUGAUGUAGGAUGUUAAAGAAAGAGAGGAAAGGGAAUUGCCUAGAGUUUUAGCAUGAGCAACUGAAUAGAGGAUUUGCCAAGAUGGUCAUUUGCCAAGAUGGUGAAGAAUAGAAGAGAAGUGGGUGAGGGUAGGGAGAAUCAAGGGUUCUUGUUUGGUGUGCCAACUUUUGGAUGCUAUUAGAUAUCCAAGGGACUCGGGAGAGUGGGGCUGAAGAUAUGAGUUGGGGUGGUAUAUAAAGCCCUGGAGCUGGCUGAAGUCACUUAGGGAGAAUAAACGAGAGGAGAGAAGACAGGAGGGUUAAGGACCAUACUCUGGGACACCCCACCGCCACCUUUAGGGGAAGAUGAAGAAGGUCCAGCAAAGCAGCAGGAAGAACAACCGGUGAGGCAGGCAGAGACCCAGGUGCACAGGUGUCCUGAAAGCAAGGGCGGAGAAAGCCUGCACAAUGGCCAUCCGUCCUUCAAAACUCAAAUCAGGUUGUCACCUCCAUGGAAAAAUCUUGCUGGAUCCUUCUGCACCCUGGCUCCCAGGCCUUGCUAAGGACCCCUCUGUGCUCCCGUAGGACACAACACAUGGUGUUGUGGCUAUCAGCUUGCUUAUCUGCUCCACAGAAGGGAAGAGGCACUUGUUUAAUUGUUCCUCAAGUGAAUGGCUGGGCCAGAUGGAGCACAAAGAGCUGGGCCCCUUCCUCCCUGAAGCUUGCCAUCCAGUGUGUUAAGGACAAAUCCCCGAAUAGCUGCAGCCCCCACCCUGCUGCUCAGACGAGUGUUCCAUCAAAGGCAAGUCAGGGCCGGCCACAUGCUCAAGGUGGGAUUUGAGCUGUACCUUGAGGACGGGAACCUUCAUGUCUACCUCCACAGCAGUAGUAACAGCUGCUGGCUUAAAUGACAGGCUCUGUCAGCCCGUCUCUUCUGGCCGAGAGCCAGACUAUUCCCUGGGUUUCUUUUCUUGUGUUUGUGCAGAAAUUAAAAUAGUUCUGCUUAAAAUCAUCUCUGGGAUGACCUGGAAAGAGGCCUCACCAGCAUGAAGUGGGAUAGUUUUAAGCCCUGGCCUGCAUUUCUUAGACCAAUCUGGUACUGUUUCCCCAAUUUCUAUGGCACAUACGUUGUCAGCAGUUCUUAAACCCCAUUAAAAGGGUCAGGGUCUGAGCUACUCUACCUCAGUCCAUUUAAGGAAAGGUGACCUUGCCUACAAAACCAUCCAUCUGAAAGACUCCUUAGAUAUUAAUAGAUAGCAGAAAGAUAAUGAGGGCACAGUCUCUGAGGUCCGAUAUAAUCAGAUAUAGCCAAACCCUUAGAAAGAUCCAGAAGGAGUCUGAAUUGACGAUUUUAAAGAGUAAUACAGAAUUUCGAUCAAGACCCUCAUGUGGGCUUUCCCAUCAUAGUAAAGUCUGUUACCUAAAGCCAACAUCUUUCAGAUUCUUUGUCUUUAAGGCUUUGUGAUCCUUUGACUUUCAGACACUUACAGAUGAGGAGCUAUUGCUAACUAGGCCUCUCCACCCCAGCCUCAGAGGGCCUCAGGUUUGUGAAGUUAUGGUCAAUAAGAGGUAGCCUGUGGCAUUAUUCAUAAACUUACUUCCUAACACAACGACCUUGUAGAACCCAACUUGCUCAUAACUUGGAGUGGUCUGUAUGGAGCUCUCUGUUCUGAUGAACUGGACUAUUUGCAACUGUCAUCUUUACAGAGUCUUAAAUAAUUGCAAGAAUAUCCCUUAGCACACCUCUUUUAAAACUGUGGAUUGUAUCCAUUACUGCAGCAAAGAAACUGCGCUUGAGUCCAGCUUAUCGCUGCCCAAUCUGCUUUGGUAUACUUUCAUCAGCUAAUAGUAACAGAAAAAUUUAACGUUUUCUUUCCAUAACUUAGAAGGGGAUAUCAUUGCCAAAAUCUGACUUCCUAACUUCCACAAUUGCAGCCUUUACCAAAUCACGAUGGGAGAGUAAAGGAGGCCUUCUGAGUCCCAGCUCAAAGGAAGGCACUUUAAUAAGGAUCAGGAUAGGUUAAGGCAUUGCCCACAUUGCACCUUUUCCUCUCCAGCUAGCUAACUUUUUCCCUAAUCACUGUAACAACCCACAUCCCACAUCAGUCAGUGUUAUCAGGCAUAAUGAGAAGAAUGGGAUAAAAUUGUAACCUCCCUUCCUCAGUUCUGAGGCAUUCGAACCACCAGACAGCCUCAUCCCAGGAGCUCUUUGCCCCUCCCACGUACCUUCUAAUCAGCCCCUACCCACCUCUUCCUGGGUCAGUGUUCCUCUUAGCUUCCCAGAACCCUAAGUGUCCUCCCCAGUGUCCUGCAGCACUAGAUAAAACCUUCAUGGCAAUAGGAGAAAGUCAAGAAUCCCAGAUCCAUCACAACUAUAUGCCAUUGACAAAGGAAGAUUAUAGAAUGUCACUGGGUUGCAGCAGCUAUAAGAACAAGAGCAGGACCACAGGAAGAGGAUGUAGCCAGCAUGGGUUUGACGUGUGUGCUGACCACAGAUCUCUGCCCUCUACGGGCAAAGAUGGCACUGCAGCAGUACCUGGCGUGAUGGGAACGCCCUGGGCGCCUGCGAGCAUCCCACAUCCUUGUUAAAGGAAGUACAGGAACUAGCCUCAUUUGAUUCCUUCUAUUUGCACAAGUCACCUUGGACUGCAGGGAGCUGUUUUGCAAAAGCAAUUUGGUAGGCUUAGAUCUCAAAUUCACCUUGAGAACAUUUUUUUGAGGUAGUAAUUUCCUCAGAGGACUGUUGUGUUUUGUUUUGUUUCUUUCUGAGCUACCUGGACUCUUUAUUAGAACAAUCAAUUAUUUUCCUUUGGACCUACAAUUUUUUGCCUAUGCUGCAGCCACUUUGUGAGUGAGAAUGGCUGUGUGUGCGUGUGUGUGUGCGUGCGUGUGCGCGUGCGUGCACGUGGGUCAGGAUGAAUGGACGUGUGUGUGUGAGGGAUACCUCAAAGUUUUCUUUUCUUAUUUUGUGUGAAAAUCUCUUUUCUACAGAUUUUCCAGGGUUUAAGCAUUGCUUGCUGUAUAAAAAUCUUUACUGAAUUAUAUACAGUUUGAAUGAAAUGUUAUUUUAAAAACAAAACGAUUGUUAAGUGUUCCAUAAAGGUUAUGUUGGAUUUUGGUCAGAUGAAUAUUUGUAAGUAAAAAAUAUAUGCAUUUCUGAACCUCAACUUACAUAGAUUUUCUUUAUAAAAAACAAAAAAAGAAAAAAACAAAACGAAAAGGUUGGCUAUAGUUGGCCUGAAUAACAGGCACGAUAUAUGGUGCUGUGCAAAAUAGUAAGCUAGCAUCUUAUACUGCCGUCAAUAUCAGCAGGUACAGAGCCUCUUUUCAGCCUAAUUCAGUAAGCUCUCAGGCUUCCAAGUCAGAUGGACAGGGUGGAGUGGAGUGAGGCGACAAAUACACCAUAGGUUUUUUGAAACGUCAAAGGGAAGUAUAACUACUGAUAGUGAAAGCCCAGCCAUGACUGGUGGGCUAUGCUUGGCAGGAACUGGGCACCGGGAGCCUCCCAACUGCCCUAAAUCCUGUCACUGGUAUAGCAAUAUAUGGCAGGAUUUAGAACCAGUCAUGGAACCUUAAGCUCCAACUAAAGUAGGUCAUCACUUCGUGGAAACAAAGUCCGAUCACCUUGUGCUUCCUGAAACAGCAUAUAUCACUGUGAAACUAAAGAACGUCCUACAGACGCAUCUGUAGGAAGAAGCAAAGAACAGGAUAGUUUAGAAAGCUGUUUUUCUCUUGGCUAUACUCAGCAAAUUCUAUAUACUUGUCACUCAGGACUGCUAUUCAGUGUGCUUUUGUAAAAUGAGAUGGAAAUUUUAGUAAGCGUCGCGGCUAAGAUUUUUUCCUGCAUGAAGCCCAAAGCACUGACGUUUGAGAGAAGGGAAGGGGGUCUCCCCAGGAGGACCGCAGUUGACCGCCUUUUCCAGCCACUACUGCUUAGCCCUUCGGCAGCCCUCAGCUUGGCACACGCUCCAACUUCUGGGUCCGCUUCAAGGUGAACUCAAGGAGGUUGCUCUUGACUGUUUAAAGGUACAACCAGCCUCGCUUUUCCCUUUGCUCUGCGAAGUUCAAAGGCAUCGCGGCCAGGAAGCGAGGUCUGCGGCCCAGAAGCUUGCCCUGAGUGCGUGCACCCGACGGGUUCCCCAGCCCACCAGCCGCUCCUGACGGGGCACCCCAUCACCAACCUGCUCCUUCCCUGGAAGAGUUAAAUAUGUUUGAUUGCAAAUGAAUGUUUUUAAAGUGUAUUUAAUGCCGUUUUUUUCUGUUCUCAACACGACCACCCAAGAUUCAAACACAGAGAUUUCCAAGUUGUUAUUUUUUCAGAACAUUACCGAUUUAAAAAUCUGUCACAACAGGAACUUGGGUUUUGUGCAACCAUCAGAGUGCUAAUGUGCAGAAGCCAGUUUAAAGAAAAUGGAGUGUAGUGGGGGAAAAGCCUUACUUAGGCCCACUCAUUGACAUUUCUAGUACUGGGAAAAUAUCCUUGGUUGGCAUUUGUAACACUAAACACUAUAGAGUUGGUAUUUUAAGUACCAGGUAAAUAUAAAUAAACCAAUAUGAAUUGCUGAGACAAUCUUGAACCCAGAUAGCAUUGGAAAGUGGAAAGCCCAAUGAAAUGACACUUUCACACUUAAACUCUGUGGAUAAAUCUUGCCUGUGGCUAUAAACAGAUGGUCAAAGAAAAAGUGCUUUACUAUGAUUAACUUUUCUGAGUUGAAUGAAGGAAAAUGUAUUUAUUAAAACAAAGCUGUUUGCUGCUUUAUGCAGGUGCAGUGUUCAGUCAGCAAGGAAGUGGGAGGAAUGGGACGUGGUCUUGUGUUUCCACCCAAGUUCUUAACUAAGCUUCUCGCUCUCUCUAAUACUGCAUUCUGUUUCUCCUUUUGUGCCCUGAUUGUAACCCAAAAUUUAUGAACUAGAAAAGAAUGUCCAAUUUAAUAAGUUGCAUUUUUUUCCUUAAGCACUUUAUGCAGAACAAUACAUGUUCUUCUGGUAGUGUUUGGAUAAUAUGAUUUUAACACAUGCUAAUAAAAGCCAAGAAAAAAGCA